rnacentral:rRNA from 1 species
CUGGCUCAGGAUGAACGCUGGCGGCGUGCUUAACACAUGCAAGUCGAACGAAGCUCCUAAACCUGAGAUUCGUCAAGGGCGAGGGAUGACUAGUGGCGGACGGGUGAGUAAUGCGUGAGCAACCUGCCCUUCAGAGGGGGACAACAGCUGGAAACGGCUGCUAAUACCGCAUAAAGUACAGAUGAGGCAUCUCGACUGUACCAAAGAUUUAUCGCUGAAGGAUGGGCUCACGUCUGAUUAGCUAGUUGGUGAGGUAAUGGCUCACCAAGGCUGCGAUCAGUAGCCGGACUGAGAGGUUGGCCGGCCACAUUGGGACUGAGAUACGGCCCAGACUCCUACGGGAGGCAGCAGUGGGGAAUAUUGGGCAAUGGGCGCAAAGCCUGACCCAGCAACGCCGCGUGAAGGAAGAAGGCUUUCGGGUUGUAAACUUCUUUUGGCAGGGACGAAGAAAGUGACGGUACCUGCAGAAUAAGCUCCGGCUAACUACGUGCCAGCCGCGGC